CCUACGGGUGGCAGCAGUCGAGAAUCAUUCACAAUGGGGGAAACCCUGAUGGUGCGACGCCGCGUGGGGGAAUGAAGGUCUUCGGAUUGUAAACCCCUGUCAUGUGGGAGCAAAUUAAAAAGAUAGUACCACAAGAGGAAGAGACGGCUAACUCUGUGCCAGCAGCCGCGGUAAUACAGAGGUCUCAAGCGUUGUUCGGAAUCACUGGGCGUAAAGCGUGCGUAGGCUGUUUCGUAAGUCGUGUGUGAAAGGCGCGGGCUCAACCCGGGGGACGCACGAGACACCGCGAGACUAGGGGAAAGGGAGGGGAACCGGAAUGCUCGGUGUAGCAGUGAAAUGCGUAGAUAUCGAGAGGAACACUCGUGGCGAAGGCGGGUUCCUGGACAUUAACUGACGCUGAGGCACGAAGGCCAGGGGAGCGAAAGGGAUUAGAUACCCCAGUAGUC
rnacentral:rRNA from 1 species